CUACGGGAGGCAGCAGUGGGGAAUAUUGGACAAUGGGGGAAACCCUGAUCCAGCAAUGCCGCGUGUGUGAAGAAGGCCUGCGGGUUGUAAAGCACUUUCGGUUGGGAGGACUGCUUCUAGCACUAAUAUUGUUGGAAGUUGACGUUACCUUCAGAAGAAGCACCGGCUAACUCCGUGCCAGCAGCCGCGGUAAUACGGAGGGUGCAAGCGUUAAUCGGAAUUACUGGGCGUAAAGCGCGCGUAGGCGGCUAGAUCAGUCGGGUGUGAAAGCCCCGGGCUUAACCUGGGAACUGCAUCCGAUACUGUCUAGCUUGAGUACAGGAGAGGAGAGUGGAAUUCCACAUGUAACGGUGAAAUGCGUAGAUAUGUGGAGGAACACCAAUGGCGAAGGCAGCUCUCUGGCCUGAUACUGACGCUGAGGCGCGAAAGCGUGGGGAGCAAACAGGAUUAGAUACCCCCGUAGUC
rnacentral:rRNA from 1 species